rnacentral:rRNA from 1 species
UACGGGGGGGGCAAGCGUUGUUCGGAAUUACUGGGCGUAAAGGGCUCGUAGGCGGCCAACUAAGUCAGACGUGAAAUCCCUCGGCUUAACCGGGGAACUGCGUCUGAUACUGGAUGGCUUGAAUCCGGGAGAGGGAUGCGGAAUUCCAGGUGUAGCGGUGAAAUGCGUAGAUAUCUGGAGGAACACCGGUAGCGAAGGCGGCAUCCUGGACCGGCAUUGACGCUGAGGAGCGAAAGCCAGGGGAGCAAACGGG